rnacentral:rRNA from 1 species
GCUCAACCGGGGAGGGUCAUUGGAAACUGGGGAACUUGAGUGCAGAAGAGGAGAGUGGAAUUCCACGUGUAGCGGUGAAAUGCGUAGAGAUGUGGAGGAACACCAGUGGCGAAGGCGACUCUCUGGUCUGUAACUGACGCUGAGGCGCGAAAGCGUGGGGAGCGAACAGGAUUAGAUACCCUGGUAGUCCACGCCGUAAACGAUGAGUGCUAAGUGUUAGAGGGUUUCCGCCCUUUAGUGCUGCAGCAAACGCAUUAAGCACUCCGCCUGGGGAGUACGGUCGCAAGACUGAAACUCAAAGGAAUUGACGGGGGCCCGCACAAGCGGUGGAGCAUGUGGUUUAAUUCGAAGCAACGCGAAGAACCUUACCAGGUCUUGACAUCCUCUGACAACCCUAGAGAUAGGGCUUCCCCUUCGGGGGCAGAGUGACAGGUGGUGCAUGGUUGUCGUCAGCUCGUGUCGUGAGAUGUUGGGUUAAGUCCCGCAACGAGCGCAACCCUUGAUCUUAGUUGCCAGCAUUCAGUUGGGCACUCUAAGGUGACUGCCGGUGACAAACCGGAGGAAGGUGGGGAUGACGUCAAAUCAUCAUGCCCCUUAUGACCUGGGCUACACACGUGCUACAAUGGGCAGAACAAAAG